rnacentral:rRNA from 1 species
GGAUCCAGACUUUGAUUCUGGCUCAGGAUGAACGCUAGCUACAGGCUUAACACAUGCAAGUCGAGGGGAAACGACAUCGAAAGCUUGCUUUUGAUGGGCGUCGACCGGCGCACGGGUGAGUAACGCGUAUCCAACCUGCCCAUCACUUGGGGAUAACCUUGCGAAAGUAAGACUAAUACCCAAUGAUAUCCCACGAAGGCAUCCGAAUGGGAUUAAAGAUUUAUCGGUGAUGGAUGGGGAUGCGUCUGAUUAGCUUGUUGGCGGGGUAACGGCCCACCAAGGCGACGAUCAGUAGGGGUUCUGAGAGGAAGGUCCCCCACAUUGGAACUGAGACACGGUCCAAACUCCUACGGGAGGCAGCAGUGAGGAAUAUUGGUCAAUGGGCGAGGGCCUGAACCAGCCAAGCAGCGUGCAGGACGACGGCCCUAUGGGUUGUAAACUGCUUUUAUAAGGGAAUAAAGUGAGUCUCGUGAGACUUUUUGCAUGUACCUUAUGAAUAAGGACCGGCUAAUUCCGUGCCAGCAGCCGCGGUAAUACGGAAGGUCCGGGCGUUAUCCGGAUUUAUUGGGUUUAAAGGGAGCGUAGGCCGGAGAUUAAGCGUGUUGUGAAAUGUAGAGGCUCAACCUCUGCACUGCAGCGCGAACUGGUCUUCUUGAGUACGCACAACGUGGGCGGAAUUCGUGGUGUAGCGGUGAAAUGCUUAGAUAUCACGAAGAACUCCGAUUGCGAAGGCAGCUCACGGGAGCGCAACUGACGCUGAAGCUCGAAAGUGCGGGUAUCGAACAGGAUUAGAUACCCUGGUAGUCCGCACGGUAAACGAUGGAUGCCCGCUGUUGGCCUGAAUAGGUCAGCGGCCAAGCGAAAGCAUUAAGCAUCCCACCUGGGGAGUACGCCGGCAACGGUGCAACUCAAAUGAAUUGACGG